GACGAACGCUGGCGGCGUGCUUAACACAUGCAAGUCGAACGGAAAGGCCCUGCUUUUGUGGGGUGCUCGAGUGGCGAACGGGUGAGUAACACGUGAGUAACCUGCCCUUGACUUUGGGAUAACUUCAGGAAACUGGGGCUAAUACCGGAUAGGAGCUCCUGCUGCAUGGUGGGGGUUGGAAAGUUUCGGCGGUUGGGGAUGGACUCGCGGCUUAUCAGCUUGUUGGUGGGGUAGUGGCUUACCAAGGCUUUGACGGGUAGCCGGCCUGAGAGGGGUACCGGACACAUUGGGACUGAGAGACGGCCCAGACUCCUACGGGAGGCAGCAGUGGGGAAUAUUGCACAAUGGGCGGAAGCCUGAUGCAGCAACGCCGCGUGCGGGAUGACGGCCUUCGGGUUGUAAACCGCUUUCGCCUGUGACGAAGCGUGAGUGACGGUAAUGGGUAAAGAAGCACCGGCUAACUACGUG
rnacentral:rRNA from 1 species